rnacentral:tRNA from 1 species
UCCUGGGUGGCUCAGUCAGUUGAGCGUCUGACUUCGGCUCAGGUCAUGAUCUCACGGUUCGUGGGUUCGAGCCCCGCAUCAGGCU